AAGUCGUAACAAGGUUUCCGUAGGUGAACCUGCGGAAGGAUCAUUAACACGUAUCCAACGUUAAACCCCCCCGUGAACCUUCAGUGCGCUCGCACUUUCUUAGAAAAGGUAGCAAUCCCUGGUAAAUCAUUGCCGAACAGUUUUGAUUCAGGGACUUCUGCGUAGACUGUGCUUGAGCGUGAGGCAAGUGUGUCUGAAAGUGUCACCAGCUCUGUACGAAUGGCGCAGUCACGAUCGCUAGAGGCCGACACGGCCGGCGACCGGGUCACUGGGCGCGAGCCCCCCUCGUCACCUUUGCAUGAAAACGGGCCUGCGCUUAAUUGUGCGGCCACCAAACUCGAACAACUGUUAACAAUGGAUAUCUUGGUUCUC
rnacentral:misc_RNA from 1 species